GUCCAGACUCCUACGGGAGGCAGCAGUGGGGAAUAUUGCACAAUGGGGGAAACCCUGAUGCAGCGACGCCGCGUGAGUGAAGAAGUAUUUCGGUAUGUAAAGCUCUAUCAGCAGGGAAGAAAAUGACGGUACCUGACUAAGAAGCCCCGGCUAACUACGUGCCAGCAGCCGCGGUAAUACGUAGGGGGCAAGCGUUAUCCGGAUUUACUGGGUGUAAAGGGAGCGUAGACGGCAUGGCAAGUCAGAUGUGAAAGCCCGGGGCUCAACCCCGGGACUGCAUUUGAAACUGUCAGGCUGGAGUGCAGGAGAGGUAAGUGGAAUUCCUAGUGUAGCGGUGAAAUGCGUAGAUAUUAGGGGGAACACCAGUGGCGAAGGCGGCUUACUGGACUAUAACUGACGUUGAGGCUCGAAAGCGUGGGGAGCAAACAGGAUUAGAUACCCCCGUAGC
rnacentral:rRNA from 1 species